rnacentral:lncRNA from 1 species
CGAAUCGAGACAUAACCUAUUUCAUGCUAAAAGGCUGAACGAUGGAUUUGUGAGGCUUCUCUUCAUGAGAGAGCAUCAUCCUUUUGAGUUCUAGAAGGUAUUUAUUUCUAGUCUCCUCAUCAUUGAUGUGCUCUAUGAUGUCAAACAAGAUUUCUUUGGGAUUUCCAGAAAUAACAUUAACGGUCUUUUUUGUACAAGUACAAAAGGUGCCGUUACAAAUGCAAUCUUGGCCAGACUAGGAUUGAUCG